CUCACAUCUGUGGAUGGGCACACUUGUCUUCUCUCUAAGAACCAUAAGCCACCCUGUGAUGCCUGAUUAAAGUUCAGCAGAUUGGCGUGGUUCAUCACUUCCCAUCACAUGGGCCAUCUCUAGACCUGGAAGGGAAACCCUGGAAGGGGCUUGGGACCAAAUGCUUUGGUGAGCUGUGGACAAGGCCCAGUGCAACAGGACACAAAGGCCAGGGAAGAGCGGUGGGUCUUAUUUCUGACAGAAGAAUCACCCUGUCCCAGAAUGUGGGACCUGGAAGACCCUAUGGUUGGACAUUUUCAGUCUGGGGCCCCGGACACACUGGGUUAAAAGGAUGACUCACAGGUGGACUGUGGCUUACAGGUAAUGCCUGGCCAGUACUGUCCUUCUCUAAUGGGAAGGGGCCUGUCUCCAAAAGACCUGAGUCACUAUUCCCCAU
rnacentral:lncRNA from 1 species